rnacentral:rRNA from 1 species
GACGAACGCUGGCGGCGUGCUUAACACAUGCAAGUCGAGCGGUAAGGCCCUUUCGGGGGUACACGAGCGGCGAACGGGUGAGUAACACGUGGGUGACCUGCCCUCAGCUCUGGGAUAAGCCUGGGAAACUGGGUCUAAUACCGGAUAUGACUCCAUGACGCAUGUUGUGGGGUGGAAAGCCUUGUGCGGCUGAGGAUGGGCCCGCGG